GGGAAUCACAGUCUCCAAGCUCUUCUAUUGUAUUCGUCUUUAUGUAGGGAACUUUAAUUUCCUCCAAGGCUUUCAGAAGCUCCUCACGCUUCCCUGCUUCCUGAACCAAAACCACUCUCGUUUCUAUUUGAGGCAUUUCUUCUUCAACAUCCACAACAGAUCCAGGAAACACAUUCUCUUUGGAGUUUUCUACAACUUUUGAAUCAAGAACAGAAGAAUCAGCCAAGAGGCUCCUCCCGCUUUCAGACACCAGCGUACUGCUGUCAGCCAUGGUUACUUCUUUCCUUC
rnacentral:lncRNA from 1 species